rnacentral:lncRNA from 1 species
CAGGGUCGGGGAACCAGCUAAGGAGAAAGGGCUGUAUCCCAAGCAGACACAGCCAGUUAGAAGAAAGACUAGGCCUAGAAAAUCAGAGUUGUUUUUUUUUCUUUUUCUGGCUUACCAUAAUGGUAAAAGGAAACAUUUUCAAGCAGUGAUAGUUUUCAUAUUACACUGGGAAACAAUGGUAACAGUACUCAUAUCAUGUGAUUUACAAAAAGAUGCGCCCCCCAAAUCAGUUGCUUGUGACAGUGAUUCAGUAUGGCCCUGUACUCAAUGUGAUUCAUGUAAAAGGUAUAUACAGUGAAGUUACAUACCUAACUGCUAUUGUCAAAGACCAAGGAAUGUAACCAAGCACAUUACAAGGCA